GAUAACAGGCUGAUGACUCCUAAGAGCUCUUAUUGAUGGAGUCAUUUGGCACAUUGAUGUCGACUCAUCACAUGUUAGGGUUGAAGAAGGUCCCAAGGGUUAAGUUGUUCGCCGAUGAAAGUGAUACAUGAGUUGGGUUUAGAACAUCGUGAGACAGUUC
rnacentral:ncRNA from 1 species